GGCCUCUUGGUGUAGUGGUAACAUGAUAGACUUCCAAUCUGUCGCCGCGGGUUCGAUUCCCGCAGUGGUCA
rfam:Sugiyamaella lignohabitans strain CBS 10342 chromosome B, complete sequence.